rnacentral:rRNA from 1 species
GAGUUUGAUCAUGGCUCAGAAUCAACGCUGGCGGCGUGCCUCAGACAUGCAAGUCGAACGAUUAAACUUCCUUCGGGAAAGAUAGUAAAGUGGCGCACGGGUGAGUAACACGUAAGUAAUCUACCUUCGAGUGGGGAAUAACGUUCGGAAACGGACGCUAAUACCGCAUAAUGCAGCGGCACCUUAUGGUGACAGUUGUUAAAGGAGCAAUUCGCUUGAAGAGGAGCUUGCGGCAGAUUAGCUAGUUGGUAAGGUAAUGGCUUUACCAAGGCUACGAUCUGUAACCGGUCUAAGAGGACGGUCGGUCACACUGACACUGAAUAACGGGUCAGACUCCUACGGGAGGCAGCAGUCGGGAAUUUUGGGCAAUGGGCGAAAGCCUGACCCAGCAACGCCGCGUGAAGGAUGAAGUAUUUCGGUAUGUAAACUUCGAAAGAAUGGGAAGAAUCAAUGACGGUACCAUUUAUAAGGUCCGG